GCGCCGGUGGUGUAAUGGCGUAGAGCAUUCCCGCCCGGUUAGAGGGAGGUGCGGGUUCGAGUCCCGCCCGGCACU
rnacentral:tRNA from 1 species